GAUGAACGCUGGCGGCGUGCCUAAUACAUGCAAGUCGAGCGAACAGACGAGGAGCUUGCUCCUCUGACGUUAGCGGCGGACGGGUGAGUAACACGUGGAUAACCUACCUAUAAGACUGGUAUAACUUCGGGAAACCGGAGCUAAUACCGGAUAAUAUAUUGAACCGCAUGGUUCAAUAGUGAAAUACGGUUUUUCUGUCACUUAUAGCUGGAUCCGCGCCUCAUGAGCUAGUUGGUAAGGUAACGGCUUACCAAGGCAACGAUGCGUAGCCGACCUGAGAGGGUGAUCGGCCACCCUGGAACUGAGACACGGUCAAGACGCCUACGGGAGGCAGCAGUAGGGAAUCUUACGCAAUGGGCGAAAGCCUGACGGAGCAACGCCGCGUGAGUGACGAAGGUCUUCGGAUCGUAAAACUCUGUUAUUAGGGAAGAACAAAUGUGUAAGUAACUAUGCACGUCUUGACGGUACCUAAUCAGAAAGCCACGGCUAACUACGUG
rnacentral:rRNA from 1 species